GAUGAACGCUGGCGGCGUGCCUAACACAUGCAAGUCGAACGGAGAUUCCGGACGGAAGUUUUCGGAUGGAAGACUGUAAUUCUUAGUGGCGGACGGGUGGGUAACGCGUGGGCAACCUGCCCUAUACAGGGGGAUAGCAGCUGGAAACGGCUGGUAAGACCGCAUAAGUCGGCGAGACCGCAUGGUUUUGCCGGGAAAUGAGCAAUCAGGUAUAGGAUGGGCCCGCGUCCGAUUAGCCAGUUGGCAGGGUAAAAGCCUACCAAAGCAACGAUCGGUAGCCGGACUGAGAGGUCGGACGGCCACAUUGGGACUGAGACACGGCCCAAACUCCUACGGGAGGCAGCAGUGGGGGAUAUUGCACAAUGGAGGAAACUCUGAUGCAGCGACGCCGCGUGAGUGAAGAAGUAUUUCGGUAUGUAAAGCUCUAUCAGCAGGGAAGAUGAUGACGGUACCUGACUAAGAAGCCCCGGCUAACUACGUG
rnacentral:rRNA from 1 species